GCGAGUUCAGCUCUCUAAAACCAUUGCGAAAGACCCUGUAACGUUGCUUCGGCGGGGUCCCACCCGCCGGCAGUACCAAACUCUGAAACUAUUGCAUUCUCUGAGUAAACUUUUAAUAAGUAA
rnacentral:misc_RNA from 1 species